GAAAGGGCGUGAUACCGAACACGCCUGGGAACCAGGAGUUCCCCUAUUAAA
rnacentral:ncRNA from 1 species